GCCGGUUUGGCUCAGUGGUUAGAGCGUCAGCCUGUGGACUGAGGGUUGUGGGUUCAAUUCCAGUCAAGGGCA
rnacentral:tRNA from 1 species